rnacentral:rRNA from 1 species
UACGUAGGGGGCGAGCGUUAUCCGGAAUUACUGGGCGUAAAACGCACGCAGGCGGUUCGCCAAGUUUGGAGUGACAGUUGUCGGCUCAACCGACAAAGGACUUCAAAAACUGGUGAACUUGAGGACGAGAGAGGAACAUGGAACUCCAGGUGUAGUAGUGAAAUGCGUAGAUAUCUGGAAGAACACCAAUGGCGAAGGCAAUGUUCUGGCUCGUUUCUGACGCUCAGGUGCGAAAGCCAGGGGAGCGAACGGG